AACACAUGCAAGUCGAACGAAAGAUUGCCGGAGUGCUUGCACUUUGGCAGACUGAGUGGCGGACGGGUGAGUAACGCGUGGGUAACCUGCCUUUAUACGAGGGGGAUAACAGUUGGAAACGACUGCUAAUACCGCAUAAGCGCACGGUAUCGCAUGAUACAGUGUGAAAAACUCCGGUGGUAUAAGAUGGACCCGCGUCUGAUUAGCUUGUUGGUGAGGUUAACGGCCCACCAAGGCGACGAUCAGUAGCCGGCCUGAGAGGGUGAACGGCCACAUUGGGACUGAGACACGGCCCAAACUCCUACGGGAGGCAGCAGUGGGGAAUAUUGCACAAUGGGGGAAACCCUGAUGCAGCGACGCCGCGUGAGUGAUGAAGUAUUUCGGUAUGUAAAACUCUAUCAGCAGGGAAGAUAAUGACGGUACCUGACUAAGAAGCACCGGCUAAAUACGUG
rnacentral:rRNA from 1 species